rnacentral:rRNA from 1 species
GAUGAACGCUAGCUACAGGCUUAACACAUGCAAGUCGAGGGGAAACGACAUCGAAAGCUUGCUUUUGAUGGGCGUCGACCGGCGCACGGGUGAGUAACGCGUAUCCAACCUGCCCACCACUUGGGGAUAACCUUGCGAAAGUAAGACUAAUACCCAAUGAUAUCUCUAGAAGACAUCUGAAAGAGAUUAAAGAUUUAUCGGUGAUGGAUGGGGAUGCGUCUGAUUGGCUUGUUGGCGGGGUAACGGCCCACCAAGGCUACGAUCAGUAGGGGUUCUGAGAGGAAGGUCCUCCACAUUGGAACUGAGACACGGUCCAAACUCCUACGGGAGGCAGCAGUGAGGAAUAUUGGUCAAUGGACGAGAGUCUGAACCAGCCAAGUAGCGUGCAGGAUGACGGCCCUAUGGGUUGUAAACUGCUUUUAUAAGGGAAUAAGGUGAGUCUCGUGAGACUUUUUGCAUGUACCUUAUGAAUAAGGACCGGCUAAUUCCGUGCCAGCCGCCGCGGUAA